UACGUAGGGUGCAAGCGUUGUCCGGAAUUAUUGGGCGUAAAGAGCUCGUAGGCGGUUCGUCGCGUCGGCUGUGAAAACCCGGAGCUCAACUCCGGGCCUGCAGUCGAUACGGGCGGGCUAGAGUUCGGCAGGGGAGACUGGAAUUCCUGGUGUAGCGGUGAAAUGCGCAGAUAUCAGGAGGAACACCGGUGGCGAAGGCGGGUCUCUGGGCCGAUGCUGACGCUGAGGAGCGACAGCGUGGGGAGCAAACAGG
rnacentral:rRNA from 1 species